AGUAGCUGACGAGUCCCAAAUAGGACGAAAUGCACAUCCUGGAU
rnacentral:hammerhead_ribozyme from 1 species